GUGGGGAAUAUUGGACAAUGGGGGGAACCCUGAUCCAGCCAUGCCGCGUGUGUGAAGAAGGCCUUUUGGUUGUAAAGCACUUUAAGCGAGGAGGAGGCUACCGAGAUUAAUACUCUUGGAUAGUGGACGUUACUCGCAGAAUAAGCACCGGCUAACUCUGUGCCAGCAGCCGCGGUAAUACAGAGGGUGCAAGCGUUAAUCGGAUUUACUGGGCGUAAAGCGCGCGUAGGUGGCCAAUUAAGUCAAAUGUGAAAUCCCCGAGCUUAACUUGGGAAUUGCAGUCGAUACUGGUUGGCUAAAGUAUGGGAGAGGAUGGUAGAAUUCCAGGUGUAGCGGUGAAAUGCGUAGAGAUCUGGAGGAAUACCGAUGGCGAAGGCAGCCAUCUGGCCUAAUACUGACACUGAGGUGCGAAAGCAUGGGGAGCAAACAGGAUUAGAAACCCGAGUAGUCC
rnacentral:rRNA from 1 species